rnacentral:rRNA from 1 species
CCUACGUGAGGCAGCAGUGAGGAAUAUUGGUCAAUGGACGAGAGUCUGAACCAGCCAAGUAGCGUGAAGGAUGACUGCCCUAUGGGUUGUAAACUUCUUUUAUAAAGGAAUCAAACGAGGCACGUGUGCCUUUUUGCAUGUACUUUAUGAAUAAGGAUCGGCUAACUCCGUGCCAGCAGCCGCGGUAAUACGGAGGAUCCGAGCGUUAUCCGGAUUUAUUGGGUUUAAAGGGUGCGUAGGUGGUUUGACAAGGUAGUAGCGCAACUCCGGAGCUCAACUUCGGAACUACUACUAAAACUGUUGGACGUGAGUGCAGGAGGGGCAAUCGGAAUUCCUAGGGUAGCGGUGGAAUGCGUAGAUAUUAGGAGGAACACCAGUGGCGAAGGCGGAUUGCUAGACUGUAACUGACACUGAGGCACGAAAGCGUGGGGAGCAAACAGGAUUAGAGACCCGAGUAGUC